rnacentral:rRNA from 1 species
AUUGAACGCUGGCGGCAUGCCUUACACAUGCAAGUCGAACGGCAGCACGGGUGCUUGCCCCUGGUGGCGAGUGGCGAACGGGUGAGUAAUACAUCGGAACAUGUCCUGUAGUGGGGGAUAGCCCGGCGAAAGCCGGAUUAAUACCGCAUACGAUCUACGGAUGAAAGCGGGGGACCUUCGGGCCUCGCGCUAUAGGGUUGGCCGAUGGCUGAUUAGCUAGUUGGUGGGGUAAAGGCCUACCAAGGCGACGAUCAGUAGCUGGUCUGAGAGGACGACCAGCCACACUGGGACUGAGACACGGCCCAGACUCCUACGGGAGGCAGCAGUGGGGAAUGUUGGACAAUGGGCGAAAGCCUGAUCCAGCAAUGCCGCGUGUGUGAAGAAGGCCUUCGGGUUGUAAAGCACUUUUGUCCGGAAAGAAAUCCUUGGCCCUAAUACGGUCGGGGGAUGACGGUACCGGAAGAAUAAGCACCGGCUAACUACGUG